rnacentral:lncRNA from 1 species
CGGGCGUCGCGGCGCCCGGCGCACUUCCGCCGCGGGCGGGCUGGCCGGGGCCUAUGUACCAAUGGCUGCUGGGGGUCCUCGGCACCCUCUUCGCCGCCGCCGCCCGCCGCCCCGCGCCGUCCCCCGCCCCGCCGCCGCCGCGCAAGAGGCCGCCCCCCAGCAUUUGGCCAUCGGUGGAAAAUCCUGACAAGGUUCCAGAAAAAAAGCCAAAAUCAGAUUAUGCCAUCUCUGAGCGUACAGAGAAGGUUGAGGAAGUUUCUGCUGAGGUGAAAUCACCAGCCAAGGAAACAAGUGAAUGCCAGAAGGCUUCAGUCAGCAAUGCUGCUCCAAUUAAAAAGUCUGCAGAAGAGACUUGGUCCGCUUCUGACACUCCACCUGAAGGACAAACAGGUUCUGCACCAGAAAUAGAAAUGCUACAGAUUGAUAAAAUGCCUUGUGAAACCAAUACUUGCUUGAAUAAGAAAACACUAUCCCUUUCUUACAAGACAGUUCCACGUCUCAGCACAAGCAGGAACGGCAAACGUCACAUCAAACCUGCUCCAGGCGGCAUCUUAACACUGAGGCCACCCAUUAAGGAGUGCACUGCGCCAGAAUCCACAGCUUCAGAAGUCAGCAAAAUGGGGAGAGUGCUCUGUACUGCUGAAGAGGAUGUUCAGCGAGGAGAAAAGGAGAAAUACAAACAGCUCUUGGAACUGGUUAAGGAAAAAUAUCCUGGAAGCUGCUCUGAUCCACAGGCGACGAACUUCCGCAAUGUUCAAGCCUACUCCAAGGAACCAGUGAUGACUGAGAGUCGCCCGGAAGGACAGAAAUACGGAGGAGAUGGCUAUCCAUGUAUGACACUAACGACCAGUAUCAAAUGCGCAGAUGUUCGCAACUCACAGUGGUCCCAGAGAAAUGAUAUGAUCAGGUACUACACACCAGCAGAAAACUCUCGUGAACAGGGAAGACCAGU